rnacentral:rRNA from 1 species
UACGGAGGGGGCUAGCGUUGUUCGGAAUUACUGGGCGUAAAGCGCGCGUAGGCGGAUCUGCAAGUCGGGGGUGAAAUCCCGAGGCUCAACCUCGGAACUGCCUUCGAUACUGCGGGUCUCGAGUCCGGGAGAGGUGAGUGGAAUUCCUAGUGUAGAGGUGAAAUUCGUAGAUACUAGGAAGAACACCAGUGGCGAAGGCGGCUCACUGGCCCGGUACUGACGCUGAGGCGCGAAAGCGUGGGGAGCAAACAGG